AUGAAAACGAAAAGCGCAGUUUAUUUUGGAUUUUAAAGAGAGUAAACGAAAAAGCUUAAGAUGGAGAAUAAGAAAUCAUUUGGAGCAGUUGGAUUCGUAUGACAAAGACGCACCAUUCAAUUAGCCGCAUCACCGGUGACUUGGAGGACGAGUAUUACGUGGAGCUCGCUAUUAGCUCAAGUAAAUAUUUGAUUAUUUUAAUUUUAUUAUUAAA